rnacentral:rRNA from 1 species
AGAGUUUGAUCAUGGCUCAGAACGAACGCUGGCGGCAUGCCUAACACAUGCAAGUCGAACGUGAUCCAUUCCUUCGGGAAUGGUGAAAGUGGCAGACGGGUGAGUAACGCGUGGGAACCUGCCCAAUGGUAGGGAAUAACCGCGGGAAACUGCGGCUAAUACCCUAUGACCCCUGCGGGGGAAAGAUUUAUCGCCAUUGGAGGGGCCCGCGUCGGAUUAGGUAGUUGGUAGGGUAACGGCCUACCAAGCCUUCGAUCCGUAGCUGGUCUGAGAGGAUGAUCAGCCACACUGGGACUGAGAUACGGCCCAGACUCCUACGGGAGGCAGCAGUGGGGAAUAUUGGACAAUGGGGGCAACCCUGAUCCAGCAAUGCCGCGUGAGUGAUGAAGGCCUUCGGGUUGUAAAGCUCUUUCGGCGGGGAAGAUGAUGACGGUACCCGCAGAAGAAGCCCCGGCUAACUUCGUGCCAGCAGCCGCGGUAAUACGAAGGGGGCUAGCGUUGUUCGGAAUUACUGGGCGUAAAGGGCGCGUAGGCUGUGCUGUAAGUCAGGCGUGAAAUCCCCGGGCUCAACCUGGGAAUUGCGCAUGAUACUGCGGCGCUUGAAGACGGGAGAGGAUGGCGGAAUUCCCAGUGUAGAGGUGAAAUUCGUAGAUAUUGGGAAGAACACCGGGCGAAGGCGGCCAUCUGGCCCGUAAUUGACGCUGAGGCGCGAAAGCGUGGGGAGCAAACAGGAUUAGAUACCCUAGUAGUCC